rnacentral:rRNA from 1 species
ACACUCCUACGGGAGGCAGCAGUGGGGAAUAUUGCACAAUGGGCGCAAGCCUGAUGCAGCCAUGCCGCGUGUAUGAAGAAGGCCUUCGGGUUGUAAAGUACUUUCAGCGGGGAGGAAGGCGAUAAGGUUAAUAACCUUGUCGAUUGACGUUACCCGCAGAAGAAGCACCGGCUAACUCCGUGCCAGCAGCCGCGGUAAUACGGAGGGUGCAAGCGUUAAUCGGAAUUACUGGGCGUAAAGCGCACGCAGGCGGUCUGUCAAGUCGGAUGUGAAAUCCCCGGGCUCAACCUGGGAACUGCAUUCGAAACUGGCAGGCUAGAGUCUUGUAGAGGGGGGUAGAAUUCCAGGUGUAGUGGUGAAAUGCGUAGAGAUCUGGAGGAAUACCGGUGGCGAAGGCGGCCCCCUGGACAAAGACUGACGCUCAGGUGCGAAAGCGUGGGGAGCAAACAGGAUUAGAAACCCCUGUAGUCCCAUG